UACGUAGGUGGCAAGCGUUGUCCGGAUUUAUUGGGCGUAAAGAGCUCGUAGGCGGUGUGUCGCGUCGGCCGUGAAAACCUGCAGCUUAACUGUGGGCUUGCGGUCGAUACGGGCAUCACUGGAGUUCGGCAGGGGAGACUGGAAUUCCUGGUGUAGCGGUGAAAUGCGCAGAUAUCAGGAGGAACACCGGUGGCGAAGGCGGCUCACUGGCUCGAUACUGACGCUGAGGUGCGAAAGCGUGGGGAGCAAACAGG
rnacentral:rRNA from 1 species